rnacentral:rRNA from 1 species
AUUGAACGCUGGCGGCAGGCUUAACACAUGCAAGUCGAGCGGGGAAAGGUAGCUUGCUACUUUACCUAGCGGCGGACGGGUGAGUAAUGCUUAGGAAUCUGCCUAUUAGUGGGGGACAACAUCUCGAAAGGGAUGCUAAUACCGCAUACGUCCUACGGGAGAAAGCAGGGGACCUUCGGGCCUUGCGCUAAUAGAUGAGCCUAAGUCGGAUUAGCUAGUUGGUGGGGUAAAGGCCUACCAAGGCGACGAUCUGUAGCGGGUCUGAGAGGAUGAGCCGCCACGCUGGGACUGAGACACGGCCCAGACUCCUACGGGAGGCAGCAGUGGGGAAUAUUGGACAAUGGGGGGAACCCUGAUCCAGCCAUGCCGCGUGUGUGAAGAAGGCCUUUUGGUUGUAAAGCACUUUAAGCGAGGAGGAGGCUACCGAGAUUAAUACUCUUGGAUAGUGGACGUUACUCGCAGAAUAAGCACCGGCUAACUCUGUGCCAGCCGCCGCAGUAA